UGCACAGAAUGACAUUUUGUGUGCGCACAGUGGGCGCGAUAAGGUCGCUAACAGUGCACAGUGCACAGUCCACAGUGGAUGAUGUUUUGAAGGUGAACUUUGUGGAUUUGGUUGCGAUUGCGAUUGCAUAAGUGGAGCAAGAGACGGAAUCGUACAAUACCAUCUAAUAGCUGGAAUAAACGCACGUAAAACGCUAGCAAAUCGCGCACAAAUAAUUAAGUAUUAGAAAUGCUGAGAAAUUCCUAGGAAAAUGCAACACGCAGCAAGCGACAGCAAAAAAAACAAAGUCGUUCCCAGUUGAGACGGGAAAAACACGGAGGCAUAUGGUUGAGUUUCAGGCCAGACUAGCUGACGUUCAGUUAGAAAUACAGCCGGACUGGAGCCAGCUGCAGUUCCUGGCAACUUCAGAACAUGGGCGUAGUCUGAAGGGGUUUACCUUUAAGAUUCUUCUCAUAAGCUUUGUUAACAGUUUACAAAAACAGCUUAGCUAGUAACAAAAAUCUAUGUAUUUGUAAUUGCUGUGAGCAGGAAAAUAAAUUAUUUGUUAUCAGCGUCUCUACUCGAAG